rnacentral:lncRNA from 1 species
AGUAUUUUUACUGAUAGAGAUUUUAGCUCCUCCCAAUUCUUGCUUAAAUUAUCCAACUCUUGGGUUAUAAAUUUGCUUUUUAGUGACAGCAUAGCUGCAGCCUGCAGGGUCUCUGAAGAAUGGGUCUUCAUCAGAGGGCAUGUCUCCUGGCAAGGGGGCAUUUGCUGCCUGCUGCCCAGCUCUGAGCAACAGCCCGGAGCCCCUGCUGGCUGCUCUCCGCACCCUGAAGCCGGCUCUGAGUUCGACCAAUGCUCAGCCUUCGCUGGUGCGGCCAGGGCUCUCAUCUGUUGCUUCCAUUUCAGGAAAGCUAUCAGCCAUUGUCUGCUUUUUUGGAUAGCGUGACAAAUGGCUGAUAUUUCUGGCACUUGGCAUAUCCUUUACCUGGGAGAGUGAACGUAGAGUCUGCUUAAUAAACAAUUCAAAAGGAGAUUGUGCUGUUAACUUGGUGUCUGUCAGGCUUUCUGAGGUGGAAGAUUGUCCAUGGAUUCAGAAACUUCCAGGGUCUAAAGAUUUGUAAGAUCCUCUGGUUGGGUUAGAGUGUGCACUAGAGCUGAAUUCCUCAGAUAGUGAUGAAGAGGAUAAAACCAAGGCAUGGAAUAAAACUGAGGUCAUUUUGAGUCAAACUUGAGAAAAGGUAUAAAGGAAUUAGGAGAGAGAUUAUAUCUGUUUGCAAAUGUGUAGAGGUUGUGCCCUUUGUAAUUGUCCUGUGCUAGUUCGGGCUUCUUUCCCCUUCCCUGUCAUCCUUCUGAGCGGGAUCAAUCUUAGGCUAUGAUUUAGUGCAGCAUGCAAGGCAAUGACAUUCCAGGUAGCUACAAAACCUGUUUCUAGAUUGCACUCUCUCAGAAUUUCAUUUAUUU